rnacentral:ncRNA from 1 species
AAAGCUCUCACACAAAGGUUUGGUCCUAGCCUUACUAUCAACUACCACUCAACUUACACAUGCAAGUUUCCGCACCCCCGUGAGAACACCCUUACCCCCUCCCGCAGGAUAAGGAGCCGGUAUCAGGCACAGACACCUUGCCCAUAACACCUAGCCAUGCCACGCCCUCAAGGGUACUCAGCAGUGAUUAACAUUGUCCAUAAGCGUCAGCUUGAACCAGUUAGAGUGUAACAGAGUUGGCCAACCUGGUGCCAGCCGCCGCGGCUAAACCACGAACUCAAGUUGACACUAUUUCGGCGUUAAGCGUGAUUAAAGUGACCCAAAAUUAGAGCCAAACCCACACAAAGUCGUGACACUCUUGUUCAAGGAAGUACAAAAACGAAAGUUGCUCUAACCCAACCACUUGACCCCACGACAGCUAAGAAACAAACUGGGAUUAGAUACCCCACUAUGCUUAGCCAUAAAAUAUCCACCCACACCCAACCCGCCGGGGAAUUACGAGCCCAAACUUAAAACCCAAAGGACUUGACGGUGUCCCACCCCCCUAGAGGAGCCUGUUCUAUAAUCGAUACCCCCCGAUACACCUCACCACCCCUUGCAUACCAGCCCGUAUACCUCCGUCGCAAGCUUACCAUGUGAACGUCCUAGUGAGCCAAAAGAUCCACCAUCAACACGUCAGGUCAAGGUGCAGCCCACGGAGUGGAAAGAAAUGGGCUACAAUCUCUACCAUAGAACAAACGAAAGACUACAUGCAACAUAGUCACUGAAGGCGGAUUUAGCAGUAAAAAGAAAAUAGAGAGCUCUUUUUAACCCGGCACUGGGACGCGUACACACCGCCCGUCACCCUCUUCAAACUACCCCACUACACCCAAAGAAGAGGCAAGUCGUAACACGGUAAGCGUACUGGAAAGUGCGCUUGGA